rnacentral:RNase_P_RNA from 1 species
AGGGACGGCCGGAGGGCCGCUGAGCCGCGAGGCUUGGAGGAACUUCCGGACUCCGUUGAGCGCGACGCCCGUCGAAAGGCGGGGGAUUGCGGGCCAUAACCCGCAGUCAUGGACAGUACCACAGAAAGUUACCGCCCGAAAGGGUAAGGGUGAAAAGGUGGGGUAAGAGCCCACCGGUAGGCGCCGUAAGGUGCCGCGCAUAGGUAAACCCCGUCGGGAGCAAGGCAGUUGGGCGGAGGACGCUGCUCGCGUCAGAAGGGAGCUUGCUCCCUCACGGCCGCCCGGUAGCCGCUUAGAGAAAUGGUCCUCGAGCCCGCAAGGGUGGACAGAAUCCGGGGUACAGGCCGUCCCUGAUU